rnacentral:rRNA from 1 species
AUUUGACCUCAAANCAGGUAGGACUA